rnacentral:rRNA from 1 species
CCGGCACGGGUGAGUAACACGUAUCCAACCUGCCGUCUACUCUUGGACAGCCCUCUGAAGGGAAGAUUAAUACAAGAUGGCAUCAUGAGUCCGCAUGUUCACAUGAUUAAAGGUAUUCCGGUAGACGAUGGGGAUGCGUUCCAUUAGAUAGUAGGCGGGGUAACGGCCCACCUAGUCUUCGAUGGAUAGGGGUUCUGAGAGGAAGGUCCCCCACAUUGGAACUGAGACACGGUCCAA